rnacentral:rRNA from 1 species
CGCACGAGAACGCUUCAGCUUGCUGGAGCUAGUAAAGUGGCGCACGGGUGAGUAACGCGUGGGUAAUCUACCUCCAAAUUGGGGAUAACAUUGCGAAAGCGAUGCUAAUACCGAAUAAUAUCUCAAAAACUUCGGCUUUUGAGAUCAAAGGUGGCCUCUCCAUGGAAGCUACUGUUAGGAGAUGAGCCCGCGUACCAUUAGCUUGUUGGCAGGGUAAUGGCCUACCAAGGCAACGAUGGUUAGCUGGUCUGAGAGGAUGAUCAGCCACACUGGAACUGACACACGGUCCAGACUCUUACGGGAGGCAGCAGUGAGGAAUUUUGCGCAAUGGGGGAAACCCUGACGCAGCAACGCCGCGUGAGUGAUGAAGGCUUUCGGGUCGUAAAGCUCUGUCAAGUGGGAAGAAUCUGCCCUGUGCUAAUAUCACCGGGCACUGACGGUACCACUGAAGGAAGCACCGGCUAACUCCGUG